rnacentral:lncRNA from 1 species
UUAUUUUAUUCUUCAUCUAAAGAAUUCAAGCUUGAAGGCUAUUGGGAUAGUGACUGGGCUGGAGAUACUAAUGAUCGAAAGAGCACUAGUGGAUUUGUUUUCUUCGUUGGUAAUACUACAUUUACUUGGAGUUCUAAGAAGCAACCUAUUGUAACUUUAUCCACUUGUGAGGUCGAAUAUGUUGCUGCAGCUUCAUGUGUUUGUCAUGCAGUUUGGUUAAGAAAUUUGUUAAAGACAAUUGAAAGUUUGCAAGAUGAUCCAACUGUGAUCCAUGUAGACAAUAAGUCAACAAUUGCUCUGGCAAAGAAUCCUGUGUUCCAUGAUCGUAGCAAACACAUUGAUACUAGAUUUCAUUUCAUCAGAGAUUGCAUUUCAAGGAAGGAGGUUCAUGUUGAAUAUGUGAAUUCUGAAGAUCAAGUUGUAAAUAUUUUCAGGAAGCCACUCAAAGUUAAUGUGUCUAACAAGUUAAGAAGUUCACUUGAAGUUUUUCAAAAAUCAUGUUUAAGGGAGGAUGUUGAAAAUUGAACAUGCUUUAAAUAAAUAAGUUAUAUGUGAAUUGAUUUAUGAGAGUUAGAAAAAGUUAAAGGAUGUGAGUUAAAAUAUUUAGAGUUAAUUUAGUAUGAGUUUUUAUAUUAACUAAGUGUGGGUUUUAGAUUGUUGUGUUUAAUUUGUGGUAUGAGUUAUGCUCAUGACAAUUCUAUAAAUAGGAUUGAAAUGUUGUAAUCUAAAUUAUCCAAGUGAGUAGAAUACACAUAAAAAAGUUAGAGUCUUCCAAUAAAGUUUAUUUUUUCUCUUAAAUAUUCUAUUUGGUAAUUAUCUAUUUAGGGUGUUUAUCGUGUAGAUGUUGUGUUUGAUGAAGAAGCAUCAUGAAAUUGGAAUGAUGAACCAGAAGACUACAAUUUUUUUGUUUUCCGUGAUGAUCAUGAUGAGCCUAGUGACAUUGCUUCCCCAUCAACACCACCAACAUCGCCAAUCACUCCACAACAAAGCACACACCUUCAUCAUUUGCAAGAAGUUCAAGUGAAGGGCCUUGUGGCAUGAGAAGUUUACGAGACAUAUAUAUGAAACUGAAGAGUUAAGUCAAAGUUUUAAUAAUCUUACUCUCUUUUGUUUAUUUGGUGGCAGUGAACCUUUGAAUUUUGAAGAAAGCUUCGCAAAAUGACAAAUGGAAGAUUGCUAUGGAUGAAGAGAUAAAAGCCAUAAAAAAGAACGAUAGGUGGGAACUUUCUACUCUUCCAAAUGGAAAGAAAGGAGUAGGUGUCAAAUGAGUGUCGAUAAAAAGAAAUGAAAAAUGAGAACUGGAGAGAUACAAAGCAAGAUUAGUUCCAAAAGGAUAUUCUCAAAGAAAAGGCAUCGAUUACAAUGAAGUGUUUGCUCCAGUUGCUCGUUUGAAAACCAUAAGAUUGUUAAUUGCGCUUGCUACUCAAAAUAAUUGGAAGAUCUCUCAGAUGGAUGUCAAAUCAGCAUUUUUGAAUGGAUAUCUAGAAGAAGAAGUCUACUUAGAACAACCUCUUGGUUAUUUUGUGAAAGGUCAAGAGGAUAAAGUUCUAAAAUUGAAGAAGGCAUUACACGGAUUGAAACAAGCACAAAAAAUGUGGAAUAGCAUAAUCAACAAAUAUUUCCUUGAUAAUGAGUAUUUGAGGUGCCUUUAUGAACAUUCCCUUUAUAUUAAAACUAAUGUUCAUUGAGAUAUUUUGGUGGUUUGUUUGUACGCGUGGAUGACUUAAUUUUUACAGGAAAUUGUGCAAGUAUGUUUGAAGAUCUCAAGAAGGCGAUGACCCAAGAAUUUGAAAUGACAGAUAUAGGGUUGAUAUCAUAUUAUCUUGGCAUUGAGGUGAAGCAAACAGAGGAAGGUAUUUUCAUCUCUCAAGAGUGGUAUACUAGAGAAAUUCUAGAGAAGUUCAAUAUGAUUAAUUCUAAGUCUGUUACAACUCCGAUUGAAACUGGGACCAAAUUGUCCAAAUAUGAAGAAGGAGAUGUUGAUCCUUCAUAUUUCAAAAGUUUGGUUGGGAGUUUGAGAUAUUUAACUUGCACACGACCAAAUAUUCUUUUCAGCAUUGGAUUGAUGAGUCGAUUUAUGGAAUCUCCUACAACUACUCAUUUGAAAGUGGCAUAGAGAAUUCUUCGUUACCUCAAAGGUACGCUUGACUAUGGGUUAUUUUAUUCUUCAUCUAAAGAAUUCAAGCUUGAAGGCUAUUGGGAUAGUGACUGGGCUGGAGAUACUAAUGAUUGGAAGAGCACUAGUGGAUUUGUUUUCUUCGUUGGUAAUAUAUACUACAUUUACUUGGAGUUCUAAGAAGCAACCUAUUGUAACAUUAUCCACUUGUGAGGUCGAAUAUGUUGUUGCAGCUUCAUGUGUUUGUCAUGCAGUUUAGUUAAGAAAUUUGUUAAAGACA